AAAUAACCUUGUCAAUAGUGUCAAAAAUGCCUCAAACUGAGAAGGCUAUGUUUUGUUUAGUAGCCAAAAGUGUGUAAUGUUUAAUUUUUAAAGUUUUAUCAAAAUGCAUAUUUUACUGUUAAUAUGAAAUAGUGGAAAAGGACAGCAACAGCAUGAACAUAAUGCAGAGCAGCUCAUCAAUCAUGCCAUCCUCAAACAGGGAUAAGGCCAAAGACUGGCAGCUGGAGAUUAUUAUGGAGAAGCUAAGAUCUAAAGCAUCGCAAUUGAAAUCCCUUCCGGAAAUAGCUAAAAACGUGCGAAUGACCCUGUUGGAAAAAAGAUAUGCACUUGACAGUGUGGAAAAGACCCAACAUCAAAAAUGUUUAGACACUUUGCAACAUGUAAUCAAAGUUACAGGUCUGCAAAGCAUGAUUGAAAGAUUGGAAAGCCUUACCAGGCAACUUGGAUUAAGAUUUGAGAUCGAAAAAACUGGCGUAUUUAUUUUCUCUGACAUGUUUUACCUAGAAAUUAUUUUGGAAGCAACAGGCGUGGUUAAAGAUGUUAAAAUUCAUCAUGAAGGGAAAGUUGAGCAGCAGAGCUGCAUCGAGCUGGUGAAUUGCCUUUCAAGAGGGGAUUUUACAGAUUUUACAACGCAAUUGGAAGGCUUCGUAUCAAUCUAUCAACUAAACGCAGAGAAAAAAGUGAAAGGCAAAGCUUUCACCGCCUUGGAGUCGCUGGAAAUCGAUUUAUGCACUUUGGCUCAAUUGCAGACUUUUAUGAAGGAGCCGUUUAAUAUUUUGCACAAGUCGCCAGUGGGUGUUUUAGAGAAGCGUCGCGGUGGCCACUCAAUGAAAUUGACUUAUUUCAUUUCACCCUAUGACUUGCUUAAUGUGGAUAAGCAUGAAAUUGAUGCCAUCAGCAUCGAUAGCAUUAUUUCCAAAGGCUUGGGCUAUUGGGUAACUGUGUCUAUUGAAGGAUCUGUUGCUCACAAGCUACAAACUACCCCCUUGAUCACUAUUAAUCGAAGUAUGAAUGGCAAAAGUACUCCGUCGUAUACACCAUUAACUAUUCAAAAUAGUGCAGUAGUGCCUGCUUGCUUUAGCCUGAAACUGAAUAAGCCCAUGCCUGUGUGUGUUUCGUUAGUCAGGAAAAUGCAGCAAAUCCAGCAGUGGGUUGAGGUGGAGACUAGGGCACCGCAACCGUUGUUGAAUAUGAUUGUAAAUCAAUGCAGCGGGGGAAAAAUGAGCUGCAAUAACAACAAAGGCCUAUUUGUAUCAUUGCCUGACCAGACGCACUGCUAUUGUAUGACUGAAAAUCGAAAUAUGAACGGCAUAUUUGUGUCGAGCAUACCAUUCAGUCACCCGGCGCAUGUUUCGAAGAUUUUAAUGAUUCUUCGAGAGCAAGCACUUUUUAAUAAUAUUAUUGAGAGCUGCGUGAGGCCAAACAGUAGACAAAAUUUCGACAAUAUGACUAUGUUUGAGGUGAGCGCUCUUUCAUCCACAAAAAUUUCCAUAUCGCUGGAGCAUCCUUUGCAAGAAUGCAUGGCCACGGCUGACAUUGAUUUAUCCGAUAUUUCCAAUCUGAUAUGUAAAGUGCAAAAUCCGGGCACGCCGCCUCCUCCCAACGUUCCCGAUCUUGUCUCUGAACUAGCCACGAAAGUGCUGAACAAGAGCUUUUCAAUACCGGUUACACUUCGCGCGGUUAUCCAGAUGUGGGAACGACAGCCCGCUGAGCACAAGUUUUAUCCUGGCCAGGAAAAUUUUAGUUUGCCCCUCGGUUCCGUCGAUCCCGGCGGCCAUUUGGGACCCGGAGCAGGUCCGGGUCUUUCGGAAUUCGGGGGGCUGCAGGAUCAGAUCAAGCAAGAGCCGGGCGUCAAUGGGUCGCAAGGCCAUAAUCAUCAUCGAAUUCACCUACAGGAGCAGCAAGGUGUGUGGAAUGAAUCCUUGAUGGCUUCGAAUUUUCAAAGUAUCCCACCUUCCGUUAGGGUGCUCAGCACUAUUGAAAUAACAAACAUUUUGUCAGAUUCUACAGACAAAUCGAUUUCUGGAAGAAAGCACAAGCGGAAGGCCACUGAUGACCUAUGGAACAGUGGCAAGCGGAAGGUGGGAUUAGAGGAUCUGGAAUUUGUGGAAACUUCUAGUUGUGACUCAACAUCGCAAAGCACUCCUAUUUCGCAGGAAACCGAAGUGGCAACUCCAAUUUCAGGCUCCCAAUCAGAUUUGGAAUUUUCAAACAUCGAUUCGUCAGAUUUUUUAGUGAAUAUUGAUAAAGUGCCCGGUGAAUUUCCGUCAAAUCCGCCUGAAACUGUGGACAUGGAGGAAAUCUUGUCCACAUUGCACAGAGACCCAAUUAGGAAAACGGCUCCCGAGCCAUCUUCCGGCAGCAGUUGCAGUGUCGUGUCGGAUCUCAGCGAUAAAAUGCCCCCCAAUGUGAGUAUUACGCCGAUUACCACACUGCCAUCACCCACCUGCGCUGCUGGAGGUCUAGAGAAGCGAACGGGUAUUGAAAUAAUCCCCAUAACGCAGGCCACAUCCAAUUUGAUGCCCACUUCUAUAACAAUUACGCCAAUCACUUCGAGUUCGAAGCAGUAUGACGAUAAAAAGGAGAGAAAAAGCAGCCGAGGCAGUCGCGAAGAGAAAGAGAAGAAGCGGAAAAAGAAACGCGAUGAAAGCCCAAUGGGGCCUCCAGAGAAAGUCCCUCUGAAGCAAGAUUCUCUACUAAAACCGGUUUCCAUCAAUAUGAAGCUAUCGGAAAGUCCACCUUUGUGCGCCACGUCUACGCCAACAUCGCCGAGUUUGAUGCGAAAAUUCAGUGCAUCGCCCACAUCUAACAGACCGAUGACAAUGUCAGGAAAGCUGAGCCCCAAUCUAAUGAAACCCAAGUCCUCCAGUUCUUGUGGCACUUCACAUCACAAUUCUAGUCCAAAAAACUCGCCCGCCCAUGUUCCUUCAAGCCCUAAGCAUGGGUUUCAAGGGUUGCCCAGUCCGAAGCAUCAUGGAACUAGUCCGAAACAUCUCUCGGCAAGUGGUAGUGGAAAGCCAAGCAUGUCCACUUUGAAAAAUGUGGCCAAUUCGCCUUCAAGUAAAGGUAUGGGGGAAAAGAGCAAAAGCAAGGAAAGAGAUAAGGAGAGAAAUCGUGGCCUUUUUCCAAGUGGGGCUUUGAAGUCCAAAUCUAGUUCAUCCAUUAAAGUUAAGCCCCUGGACUUGAACAUAAGCAGCUUGGAUGGCGGGUCUCAAGAGUCCCUGCCCUCGCCCAGUGCGGACUCAAAAGGCAACCCCAACACUUUGAGGAACCGUAAAGGAUCUCUGUCUGCUAUAGUGGAUAAAUUAAAUAUUAAAGUGAAUGCCCAACAUAGUGACGUGCCCACUGAUUUAAGUUCGAAGUCGAGCAGUAAACCUGUAAGUAAGGAUGGAAAAGGCGGGGCCAAAAUGAUUGGUGAUACAAAAAACUCCGAGUACAUGGUUAAAACUAGUUCAGAUGGGAUGAAACUAACAAUAAACAAACCUAGGACUAAAGAAAACAAAUCAAGCAGUGUUAGUGUGAGUGGGAGUAAUACAAGUUCGAGCGCCCAAAGCAACUUUUCUAAAUCGUCGCAAAUUGCCACUACUGGCUCUCCGAAAGUCCACACUGGAUUAAAACCUGGAGUGAAUAGCGGCCCUGCUUCUAAAAAACCGCAGCAGAUACAGAAGAGCAGCAGUUCUUCAAGCAUACCAAACUCCACUACUUAUAUCCCCAACAUGAAAACCUCCAGCACUUCAGGUGGUUCCAGUAAGCAACCUGGGGGCAGCAGUUCGAAAGUAAGUAGUGGAGUUUUAAAGUCGGCAUCCAAACCCACAACGCCGAAGCUGAGUUUCAGCAAUGCCACCGAUUUAAGUAGGAGCAAGGACCGGUUGAAACCGAGUAAAAGUUCCUCGGAAAAAUCGGUUUUUGCUUCUCUAAAAGAGCGCACGAAAGGCAGCCCGACACCGAACGACUCGGAAAGUAUUUACAAAAUGCAACCGUAUACAUCGGCUUUGAUGAUGGAGGGCAUGAUGAAGACACUGGACAAAAAUUUCCAAAUACCCAAACUUUCGGACAAGAAGAAGAACGAAGUAAACAAUGUGAAUCGUAGCACCGUCGAUACGAAAAUUUUUGAUAUGAUGGUGAAAAACGAUAGUAAAUAUCCCCUAAACAUACCGGCCAUGAAUUCGUUGGAACAAAAGAUCCGAAACAAUAUGAGUAUACUAAGCGCGAGUAAAGCAGACGAGUUGGACGAUAAGAGAAAGGAUGGCCCCCACAACUUAUCAGGAUCAUCAAAUUGAAAUUGUUGCCAAAACAUACCGAUUUUAAUUGUGAUAAUAUAUUAGUAUUAUACAGCAGGUUUUAUGAGGAUGGGCAAAUAGCUUACGGGCGUAUUUAGGAAAUGGUUGAGUUGGGUCAUUCCUGCAGAAAUAAUCGAUUUUCAAUAAUGUCCUUUAAGGUACCGAUGAUCUGUUCCUCACUACGGAUCCGCUCAAUCCGUAUCCAUCGGCCAGUGAAGCCCUACAUAGUCUAACGUUGGCCUCAAAGUACGCGCCUACGACCACUAUCGAUACAGAGGCCUUAGAUUUCAGCAAAACGCCCACUUUUCCGCACUCACCGUCCGUUAGUGUCCACAUAGUCAAUUCUAGGGCGUCAAGCCGCAGUUCCAGUUGUCUGGGCGAUGACGAUCUUCUGGAUGAGGGUAUUGUAACAUUAGGAAAGUAAUAACUAAAUGAGAAGUCAACGAGCAAAUUGUUUGUUGCGUAUUUAAUAACAGUUAGGGUAAUUUCGCGUAGCUAUCGUUGUAUUGGGAAACAAAUCCCAUCUUGCCGUUAUAAGUUAUAACCAGAUGAACGUUUACUAAACUAGGGAAUUUACACGAACAACUGCCAUUUGUUUAUUGUAAGUAUUAGAAUGUGUAUAUUUCAGCAUGUUUAUGCAAGUUUUAUACAACGUUUCAAAAUCCACCAUUUUUGAGGAGUUAUGAAAACUUACUGAUCAUUGUUUGCCCUAAAUAGUUUCGGAACAACUCAGAAAUAGAGAUUAUUAUUUGUUCUUAUUUUAGUCUAGUUUAAAUGUUUUGAUCUUUUUGCUACGCUGUUCUUUGAAGACACUUUUAUUCCAUGCUCAAGUUUUUUUCCUACUUUACUUGCCCGAAAAGCCAGACAAAUGAAAACUUUGUUGCAAAAGUCCGGCAUGCAUGUUUCAGAGAGUUAUUUUUUACAUUUUUUUUGUCUGCACAUGCGGCUUAUUUCCAGCUUCCUUCUCUUGGUUGUCAAUUUUAUGUGUUAUCGUGUCUUCAGUCAGGGUCCUUCGUUAAAGCUUUCACUUGGUUUUCUUUAAUUUUAUUAACUCAUUUCUUAAUUUUAUCAAAUCAUCGACUGACUCACUCAGCUUGGAACAGAAUUAAUUCGUUAUCAAUCUUCAAGUAUUUUUGUUGUUUGAUUUCUGCUUUCAAGAAUGUUUGGCUGCUAUUGAAAACUUUUUGAAAAUCAGUUAGAUCCUUCUCUACAAAUUGACAUUAGAUCGAUAAGUCUAUUCAAAUUAAAAAUCCCCUAAAAGCGAAAAGUGGUGAUGUAGUUCAUGCCGAUUUAAGUACUUAAAUAAAAAUGCAGGAAUUUCAUCAAUUACUGAAUUAACAAACACAAAUUAGUUUUUACUAAUUAUUUUCCGUCGUAAUUUUUUUCAGUGAAAACUACUUUUAAAGCGUGUUCAUGAGAAUCGUUUCAACAUUUAUAAUUUAUGAAACAUAUAUUAUUAAAUUGUGUUUACACACACAUAGUAUAGUAAAAAUGUGGCACUUUGCCCUGAGACCUCGUCCUCAGUAUAGUUAACACUUCUCUCGAUUAGUUUUAUUAUACAGUUUAUAAAAUAUUUCCAUCGUGCUAUAUUGAUUGGGUGUAGGGAAAAUAUUGUAUUUAAUAAAGCAUAUUUAAUUUACAGGAAGUUAAAAUUGAUACCCAAAAUAUGAUUGAUUGAAAUUGUGUUUUAGGUAUCUAGUCAGUAACUUAAUUAUUUAUUGAUGUUAUUAAAUUGGAGAAUAGACUGUAAAUCAUUGUACUUUAUUAGUGCCAGAAUAGUUGUUGUCUUUCCGAAAGGUGUGCAGGAUAAUCAAUUCUAAAUACCCGCGCUUUAUGGGCAAUGUAUUUAUUGUUUAUAUGAGAGUCGUCAAGAUUGAAAGAUAAAUGUUACGCAUAUCAUAGUACAAAACACCAAGCGGGCAAUUGAUUGAAUGACUUAUUUUUUGUAAUUUAUAGUUAUUAUAUACAGUUUUGUACAUAUUAAUGUAAACAUGUAAUAAUAUAUUAUGUCAUAUAUUA
rnacentral:misc_RNA from 1 species